GAUGAACGCUGGCGGCGUGCCUAAUACAUGCAAGUCGAGCGAACAGAUGAGGAGCUUGCUCCUCUGACGUUAGCGGCGGACGGGUGAGUAACACGUGGAUAACCUACCUAUAAGACUGGGAUAACUUCGGGAAACCGGAGCUAAUACCGGAUAAUAUAUUGAACCUGAUGGUUCAAUAGUGAAAGACGGUUUUGCUGUCACUUAUAGAUGGAUCCGCGCCGGAUUAGCUAGUUGGUAAGGUAACGGCUUACCAAGGCAACGAUGGGUAGCCGACCUGGGAGGGUGAUCGGCCACACUGGAACUGAGACGCGGUCCAGACGCCUACGGGAGGCAGCAGUAGGGAAUCUUCCGCAAUGGGCGAAAGCCUGACGGAGCAACGCCGCGUGAGUGAUGAAGGUGUUCGGAUCGUAAAACUCUGUUAUUAGGGAAGAACAAAUGUGUAAGUAACUAUGCACGUCUUGACGGUACCUAAUCAGAAAGCCACGGCUAACUACGUG
rnacentral:rRNA from 1 species